CGGGGCUGGGGUUAGAGGUAGUACCGGGGCUGGGGUUAGAGGUAGUACUGGGGCUGGGGUUAGUGGUAGUACCGGGACUGGGGUUAGAGGUAGUGCUGGGGUUAGAUGUAGUACCGGGGCUGGGGUUAGAGGUAGUACUGGGGCUGGGGUUAGAGGUAGUACCGGGGCUGGGAUUAGAGGUAGUACCGGGGCUGUGGUUAGAGGUAGUACUGGGGCUGGGGUUAGAGGUAGUACUGGGGUUAGAGGUAAUACUGGGGUUGGGGUUAGAGGUAGUACUGGGGCUGGGGCUAGAGGUAGUACUGGGGCUGGGGUUAGAGGUAGUACUGGUGCUGGGGUUAGAGGUAGUACUGGAGCUGGGGUUAGAGGUAGUACUGGGGCUGGGGUUAGAGGUAGUACUGGGGUUUAGAGGUAGUACUGGGGCUGGGGCUAGAGGUAGUACUGGGGCUGGGGCUAGAGGUAGUACCGGGGCUGGGGUUAGAGGUAGUACCGGGGCUGGGGUUAGAGGUAGUACUGGGGCUGGGGUUAGUGGUAGUACCGGGACUGGGGUUAGAGGUAGUGCUGGGGUUAGAGGUA
rnacentral:lncRNA from 1 species